UUUUUUCUUUAAUGAAACAAUGUGUUUAAU
rnacentral:piRNA from 1 species